rnacentral:lncRNA from 1 species
AAAAUAGACACCUUUUAAUUGGACCAUAUUUACUCUAUCUCGACGUGGGCCUCAGCGUCAUCAAGGAGAUUCUCCUUGACAUGCAGUCACGGCCAUGAUCCAUCUUCAGAGCUUCUCUUUCUUCCCCACAGUAAGUCUGUCAGCAGAGAUCCCUGACCACACCCUCAUGUGUUUUCUCCUCCAGGAGGCUCUUGGAAACCACCGUGAAUUGGACUGCACUGGAAACACAGAUGAAGAAAGUCAACGCCGCUUUGUCCUUCAAUGCCUGGCUCCUUUUUCAGCUUGUCUUGCGAGUCCAGGGAGGGGCACGCCGCCUUUACCCUGUGCUUCCCACGAUCUUGUCUCCUUAAUCCUCACUGCAGCUCUCUGCCAUAGGGUCUUAUACUGCUUUACAUGUGGGUAACUGAGGCUCAGAGGGUUUCACAGCAGGGCAGGGAGCCCAGAUGUGAAUCUGUAGAUACCAAGCUUUCUAAUUUUUCAGUAGUUUCCAAGCAUUUUUUUUUUCUUGUUUCGUCAUUGGUGUCUUUUUUUUUUUUUUGAGACAAAGUCUCUGUCGCCCAGGCUGUGGUGCAAUGGUGCGAUCUCAGCUCACUGCAACCUCUGCGUCUCACAUUCAAGCAAUUCUCAUGCUUCAACCUCCCGAGUAGCUGGGACUACAGGUGCCCACCACACCCAGCUUAUUUUUGUAUUUUUAGUAGAAACAGGGUUUCACCAUGUUGGCCAGGCUGGUCUUGAACUCUUGACCUCAGGUGAUCCACCCGCCUUGACCUCCCAAUAUGCUGGAAUUAUAGAUAUGAGCCACUGUGCCCAGCCAUGUCAUUGGUGCCUUAACCAAGCCUCUUCUAAUUUUUCAAAUGGAAGAGCCCCUGUCCCACAGUUACUGCUGCUGAGCCCUUUCAAGGUGACUCAGUGAGGAGGGAGAAAAGCGGAAGCGGUGUGGGAAGAGGCGGGGUCUGGGCCAGCUGCUGUUCCUGCUUUCCUCCCUCCUCUGGCCUCUAGGCUCCCAGGAGUGGUUUGGAACCUGCGCCAUGUGCUCUGGAGGCUGUGGCAGGGCAGGGGCGGCUUGGAACCUGCGCCAUGUGCUCUGGGGACUGUGCCAGGGCAGGGGGAGUCCUCGUGUCCGCUGCGCACAACACAGACAGAAGGCUGGGUCCACGCAGUGGGCGGUCGGGUGCUAGGCUAGUGCUUACCCCGCCAUGUUUGCAGCCCGAGGCCAGCUGGCUGCAGGUGCAGGGCUAUGCGUCAGGGGUCAGAGUGCACACAGCCCUGCAGGUCUCAGGGCUCCUGGGUUGCUUCUGGAAGGGUCCAGAUGGGGCCUGACUGGAGCUGCCAAGGGGUGGAACUUCUGGGAAAAGGAUCCCUCCUAGGGGGGAGUGUCUUGAGCCUGGGGCCAUGUGGCAGGGACAGAGACGGGUCCAUGGCAGUGUGUGCUCUUCUCUGUGAAGGCAAAGGGCCUCUGAGGGAGUAUUACAGCCGCCUCAUCCACCAGAAGCAUUUCCAGCACAUCCAGGUCUGCACCCCCUGGCUGGACGGCCGAGGACUACCCCCGCUUCUAGGGUCGGUGGACCUGGGUGUCUGUCUGGACACAUCCUCCAGUGGCCUGCACCUGCCCAUGAAGGUGGUGGACAUGUUCAGGAGCUGUUUGCCUGCGUGUGCUGUGAACUUCAAGUGAGCCAAGAGCUGGUUAGAGCUGCAAGGACACCACCUGCACAGGAUGCCCGGGGCUGGGCAUUACCUGCUGCAAUGACAACAUCUGGCUGGAUGGCAGAGAGCUGAUGGACCGUUGCGACGUCCCAGUCCAGCUGGGCCACUGUCACCCUGGGGCUAAGUUGGCAGUGAUAUCUGCCCCUAAUGAGAGGCCAUUGAGAAGGACAUUCCCUCAGAGCUGCUAGAGGACCCGGCUGUGACAGUCGCUGAAGAUGUAUGCCCGGGGGCGGCACAUCUUGCAGAUGGCCAGGCCUGUGAGGCCGGCACCACUGCCAAGCUCUAGGACAGUCCUGGCGGGAGGAAAGGGGAUCAUGUCUGCAACUGCACCAGGGUAAGCCUGCCUCGGUGCCCUGCCCUGUGCCCUGAGGUCACCUAUCAGUGAAGGCUGCUGGGUUCUAGAUGGCCCAUUCUGCAAGGUAGAGGGUGGCAUCCCAUGUGACCAGGACUGUGAUGCCGUGGGAGAUGAUGGCUGUGCUCUUGGAGAGUGUGACUGAGCCUCCCGAGGGCAGCACCAAGAGAAGGCGAGAGAGUCAGUCCAGCGAUCAGAAGGCAAGUGGCUUAGAAGACAAGCAGCCAUCCACUACAUGGCUGAAUAAAUCAUGACAGGACCAAUCGCCACUCAGCAAUGAGAAGCAGCUAACUGUUGACAUGCCAACAGCUUGCACAGGCCUCAAGGGUGUCACAUGGCAUGAAAGACACUCAUCUCAGGCCACACAGGAUUCCAUUCAUUGAACAUUCCUGAGACAAUGGAAUUCUGGCGAUGGAGCACAGGUCAGUUGUGGCCAGGGGCUGGGUGUGGCUAUGAAGGGGUGGCUGCCUUGUGAUGAUUCAAUAUGCUAUGUUUUUCCUUUGUGGUUUUCUGUAUCUAUGUUUUAUCUUAUUUUUUUUGAGCUCUGUUCCCCACGCUGGAGUCAGUGGCACAAUCUUGGCUCACUACAACCUCUGCCUCCUGGGUUCAAGCAAUUCUCCUGCCUCAGCUGCCCAAGUAGGUGCGACUACAGGCAUGUGUCACCACGUCUGGCUAAUUUUUCUACUUUUUUUUGAGACAGAGUUUCACUCUCAUUGCCCAGGUGGGAGUGCAAUAGUGUGAUCU